GAUGAAGAACGUAGCGAAAUGCGAUAAGUAAUGUGAAUUGCAGAAUUCAGUGAAUCAUCGAAUCUUUGAACGCACAUUGCGCCCAUUAGUAUUCUAGUGGACAUGCCUGUUCGAGCGUCAUUAAGUCCACUUAAGCCCUGCUUAGUGUUGGGAGACUGCUCCAGCGGUGCUACCCUGUAGCUACCCUGCAGCUCCUCAAAGACAGCGGCGGAGUUGUGGUAUCCUCUGAGCUUAGUAACUUGUUCUAGCUUUCGAGUACACCACUUCCCCUGCCGUAAAACCCUUAAUUUUUAAUGGUUGACCUCGGAUCAGGUAGGAAUACCCGCUGAACUUAAGCAUAUCAAUAAGCGGAGGA
rnacentral:misc_RNA from 1 species